GGGGCUGUAGCUCAGUUGGCUAGAGCGCUUCCAUGGCAUGGAAGAGGCCAGGGGUUCAAGUCCCCUCAGCUCCACCA
rnacentral:tRNA from 1 species